AACGAACGCUGGCGGCAUGCCUAACACAUGCAAGUCGAACGAGACCUUCGGGUCUAGGGGCGCACGGGUGCGUAACGCGUGGGAACCUGCCCUUAGGUUCGGAAUAACUCCCCGAAAGGGGUGCUAAUACCGGAUAAUGUCUUCGGACCAAAGAUUUAUCGCCUUUGGAUGGGCCCGCGUUGGAUUAGCUAGUUGGUAGGGUAAAAGCCUACCAAGGCGACGAUCCAUAGCUGGUCUGAGAGGAUGAUCAGCCACACUGGGACUGAGACACGGCCCAGACUCCUACGGGAGGCAGCAGUGGGGAAUAUUGGACAAUGGGCGAAAGCCUGAUCCAGCAAUGCCGCGUGAGUGAUGAAGGCCUUAGGGUUGUAAAGCUCUUUUACCCGGGAUGAUAAUGACAGUACCGGGAGAAUAAGCUCCGGCUAACUACGUG
rnacentral:rRNA from 1 species